AUUGAACGCUGGCGGCAUGCUUUACACAUGCAAGUCGAACGGUAACAGGCCGCAAGGUGCUGACGAGUGGCGAACGGGUGAGUAAUGCAUCGGAACGUGCCCAGUCGUGGGGGAUAACGCAGCGAAAGCUGUGCUAAUACCGCAUACGAUCUAUGGAUGAAAGCGGGGGACCGUAAGGCCUCGCGCGAUUGGAGCGGCCGAUGUCAGAGUAGGUAGUUGGUGGGGUAAAGGCUCACCAAGCCAACGAUCUGUAGCAGGUCUGAGAGGACGACCAGCCACACUGGGACGGAGCCACGGCCCAGACGCCUACGGGAGGCAGCAUUGGGGAAUUUUGGACAAUGGGCGCAAGCCUGAUCCAGCAAUGCCGCGUGCAGGAAGAAGGCCUUCGGGUCGUAAACUGCUUUUGUACGGAACGAAAAGGUUUGGGUUAAUACCCUGGGCCGAUGACGGUACCGUAAGAAUAAGCACCGGCUAACUACGUGCCAGCCGCCGCAGUAACAC
rnacentral:rRNA from 1 species